UACGUAGGGGGCAAGCGUUGUCCGGAUUUAUUGGGCGUAAAGAGCGUGUAGGCGGUUUGGUAGGUCCGCUGUGAAAACUCGAGGCUCAACCUCGAGACGUCGAUGGAAACCAUCUGGCUAGAGUCCGGAAGAGGAGAGUGGAAUUCCUGGUGUAGCGGUGAAAUGCGCAGAUAUCAGGAAGAACACCCGUGGCGAAGGCGGCUCUCUGGGACGGUACUGACGCUGAGACGCGAAAGCGUGGGGAGCGAACAGG
rnacentral:rRNA from 1 species